rnacentral:rRNA from 1 species
UACGUAAGAGGCAAGCGUUGUCCGGAAUCAUUGGGCGUAAAGAGCGUGUAGGCGGCCCGAUAAGUCCGUCGUGAAAGUCCAGGGCUCAACCCUGGGAUGCCGGUGGAAACUGUCGGGCUAGAGUCCGGAAGAGGCGAGUGGAAUUCCUGAUGUAGCAGUGAAAUGCGCAGAUAUCAGGAGGAACACCGAUGGCGAAGGCAGCUCGCUGGGACGGUACUGACGCUGAGACGCGAAAGCGUGGGGAGCGAACAGG